GCCAAGUUUUAGCACGGAAUUAGAUUAUCUAUGAAAAUCAUCAGUUGAUUUUAAGAUAUUGUACGGUUUAUUCCCUGUUAUAUACUGAGCACCAGUUUAAAACAAUGUUUGAAGAAAAAUACAUGAUUUAUUAUCAUUUCAAAACAAUUUUGAGAAAACUGAAGUUAUGGACGAUAACUCCUGUAUCGCGGCGUGCAUAAUUUGGCGGGAAAAACAGCCGAACACAGGAACAUGCAGCGUCGACUUUCGUCAACAGAUUACAGUAAUUUCAAAACAGCUGUGCACUGUAACUGGACCGAUCCUGGCAUGUUGGUUGAACUAUCAAGGCAUGAAUUGCACCGCUGUCCUUUGAUCGACCCUCAGAUGUUGUCUUCGUCAGCAGUUAUGAGAUGACAUUUACAAAAAAGUUGUAUACCCCAAAGGUAAAUGAUUGAGUCUGAUUUGCAUACAGCCCUGAAGAGUCUAGUCACAAUCAUGUCAAGGUCACCAGGUCACCAUGACAACCCAGGAUACAGUGGAGUUCGGCUACAACUACUCAUUGAAAAUACUCUAUCUCUCUAUUUGCAUAUAUAUAAUGUCUGGUUAUAAAUGUGAUGGGAUGUGAUCAUGUCUUCAGGAAAGGUAUACCCAGCCUUCCCCAGCUCGCUGCACUGGAGUGUUUACAACAUGGAGGUCAUCAGGGGAUCAACUGAGUAACCUUGAAGGUUGUGUAAACACAGAUGGCAGAGAUAAAGAUGGUAUUCAAAACUGUUUAUGUCUGGGUUUUCUUUCAAGGAAGCCACAGUCAUCUUUACUGAAGAUGACAUUUCUCUUUUAUGUACACAGUGUUGAAAUAAAAACUUCAUAUAUGAAAAUGUUUAAUAUUCA